UGAGGAAUAUUGGACAAUGGGCGAGAGCCUGAUCCAGCCAUGCCGCGUGCAGGAAGACUGCCCUAUGGGUUGUAAACUGCUUUUAUACAGGAAGAAACACUCCCUCGUGAGGGAGCUUGACGGUACUGUAAGAAUAAGGAUCGGCUAACUCCGUGCCAGCAGCCGCGGUAAUACGGAGGAUCCAAGCGUUAUCCGGAAUCAUUGGGUUUAAAGGGUCCGUAGGUGGAUAAUUAAGUCAGGGGUGAAAGUCUGCAGCUCAACUGUAGAAUUGCCUUUGAUACUGGUUAUCUUGAAUUAUUAUGAAGUAGUUAGAAUAUGUAGUGUAGCGGUGAAAUGCAUAGAUAUUACAUAGAAUACCAAUUGCGAAGGCAGAUUACUAAUAAUAUAUUGACACUGAUGGACGAAAGCGUGGGGAGCGAACA
rnacentral:rRNA from 1 species